CCCAAACCCAAUGUGAACGUUACCAAACUGUUGCCUCGGCGGGAUCUCUGCCCCGGGUGCGUCGCAGCCCCGGACCAAGGCGCCCGCCGGAGGACCAACCAAAACUCUUAUUGUAUACCCCCUCGCGGGUUUUUUUUAUAAUCUGAGCCUUCUCGGCGCCUCUCGUAGGCGUUUCGAAAAUGAAUCAAAACUUUCAACAACGGAUCUCUUGGUUCUGGCAUCGAUGAAGAACGCAGCGAAAUGCGAUAAGUAAUGUGAAUUGCAGAAUUCAGUGAAUCAUCGAAUCUUUGAACGCACAUUGCGCCCGCCAGUAUUCUGGCGGGCAUGCCUGUCCGAGCGUCAUUUCAACCCUCGAACCCCUCCGGGGGGUCGGCGUUGGGGAUCGGCCCUGCCUUGGCGGUGGCCGUCUCCGAAAUACAGUGGCGGUCUCGCCGCAGCCUCUCCUGCGCAGUAGUUUGCACACUCGCAUCGGGAGCGCGGCGCGUCCACAGCCGUUAAACACCCAACUUCUGAAAUGUUGACCUCGGAUCAGGUAGGAAUACCCGCUGAACUUAAGCAUAUCA
rnacentral:rRNA from 1 species